rnacentral:lncRNA from 1 species
GACAGCUGAAGAUGAAGCGUGGGAUAGCCGGCCAAUACUCGGAAUAAUUCCCCAAUUACACGUGAUCUUUCUUUAUUUUGAUCCCCAAUGUGCUCAAGAAGCUGUGGCAUGUAGGCUUGUGUAGCUCCGGUGCAAGUAUGCUUGACCAGGUUCAAUUACGCUCCUAACAUCAUCAGGCUUGGAGCCAUGCCUUAUCCCAAACUAUACAAAAUGCGUAUUCAAAC